rnacentral:rRNA from 1 species
UUUAGAGGAGUAAAGUCGUAACAAGGUUUCCGUAGGUGAACCUGCGGGAGGAUCAUUA